CCGGCGGACGCUCCUCCUCUGCGGGAGGCAGGCAAGGACUCGGGGUGUGGCUUUACCGAGCAAGAAUUCAGAGUCCGGCCAGCCUGGGGAAGUUGCGAGGGCCGAGCACGCUGGAGAGGCGAGGCUGCCGCCCACCCGUGAGUCUCUGCCCUCGGUGGGUGCGUCCAGAGGAGGCUGGCCAGGAGCCAUCUCCUGCUUCCAUGGGAGCGGGUGCCUGGGGACCGGGGAUGAGGGCAGGGGGCUGGGCUGGGGGUUCCCCAGCUGUCAGCGGUGGAGACAGGAUCGGUGUGUCCCUCCCUGCAGGGACCUCCCUGUGCUGUGGGACACCUGAACCGACCGAAAGCUUUGUCCCCCGGAGCCGUGUGCUACUAGAAGAGGGUAUUUCCCCUCCUUUGUCCCUGUAGGACAACCCCUGGAGCAGAGACACGUACAGUGGGGCCAGACCCUGGCCUGACUCCCAGGGGGCCCAGGAGCCCCCAUCCCCCACAGUCCCGAAUGGCCACAGUUUGCCCAUGGGGGCCGUUGUGCUACCACGAUUUGCAGUGUCCCCCACCCAUUUCUGGUGCUGGGUUCCAUGCCAGCCCUUUCCAUCCCGGGGACCCUCAGGGCGGGGCACUGAGCUGUGCUGCAGGAGAGCUGGUGUUUACCCUGCUGGGUGACACAGCCUUUGUCUGUGCCUCAGUUUCCCCCAGCAUGGAAAGGCACUCCUGGCUGUGGGAAGAGACCCCUUGCUGGUCCCUUCUCAUUGUGCAACCAGCCCGGCUCUCCCCAGUGCUGGUGGAAGCAGCUGGAGCUGCCUGCACACCGGGAGCUUCCUCCGAGCCUCGUGGGACUGAGGCUGGGAAUGGACUGUUCCUUCCCCCUGCCCUGGACUGAGGCUGGGGAGGAGUUUGGCUCCACACAAGUGGCUCUCAGCUCCUCCUGGCCAAUGUCCCCACAGUGAGGUGGCUUUUGGGGACAUCUGCAGUGGGGUGCUGGGCUGUGGGGAAGGUGCAUGAGGUGCUUGGAGCAGAGUGUGGGGUCAGGGAUACUCUCUGGAGGUACUUUGAGCUGGAGCAGAAGGAUGCUGCACCCCUGGUUGUGCCCACUUACUUGGGCUGCUUUGUUCCUCCAUGGAGGCAGAAAUCCAAAGUCCAAUUACGGGGUUAAUUAUGCAGCUGCACUCCUUACCUUCUGUUCUGUGCCGGUGACCCCUGUUCCCCAUGGGCUGCCUGCUCCUUGGGUGAAGCUGCUCCUGUGGGAGCUGAGGGUGCUCAGCAGCAUCUUGUUUUCCAUGCAGGAUGAGCCGCUAGCAGCCAGACAUUCCCCAGCAGCCAGAAAAACCUUUGGCCAUCCAGAGUGGCCAAAUGCCCAGCCUGGCAUGUGGCCAGGUCUCGCCCUUCCCAGCUCACCCCGUGGCCCUGGUUGUAGAUCCCGGAGGUCCAGGCUUGGAAAUCCACGUCCAGGGUGGCAUCAGGGUGUGAUGUCCCUGUGGCUCGGACAGAUCCCUAAUGCUGCUCCCCCUGAGCUGGUGAGGUCCCCCAUGUCUCCAGAUCUGUAAGGGAUGGAGAGGCCACACUCUCUGCUGGGACCUGGGAUUUUGACAGAGAUUUUUGAGCAGCUCCAGGAGCUGCUUGUCUGCUGCGAGUCAGCCCUGCCCUGCCGGGGAGCGCGGCUCUCUGGCUCCGAGUGUUUAUCUCCAAGGGAGGAGCCGUGUCCCUGGGCGGGGUCAGUGCUCCAAGGGCGAAGUGCCUGUGGAUCGGAUCGGGGCCACCUGCUCGGCGCCAGCCUCUUGGGGAGCUGGCAACCCCUCCAGAGGACUCCUGGGCGCAAAAACGAGGGUUCUCCUUAAAAUAAGCCCAGCACACGCUUCAGGGCAGUGGCCCCAGAGGUGCUGUGCUCCAGUCUGUGGGCCCGCGGGUGGGCUCAGAGCAUCCCCUCCACAGCGGUGGUUGGGGCAGGAAAGUAUUUAGGGCACCGUCCUAGGAAGCCCAGCCUUAGUUUGGGAAUGCUUAGGAGGGCUUUUCCUCCACGUUUCCAUUCAAAGCUGCUUUGACAAAGCCAAGUCACUGUAAACAGUUUGGAUGGGGCUCAGGGUGUCUGCCCCUUCAAGCUGGGCACUUGCCCAGGCUCAGCUGCUUCUCUUCCAGGGCAGCAAUGUCAUAUUUAUAAUGGAAAAAAACCAGGCAAACACAGGAGCCUUUUAGCCUCCUGCCACAACUCUACAAAGUACAAUAUCUCAAGUUCACUGCAACUUACUUGAAGGUGACACUAUCCCCUCAGGCUCACUUUUCUUGCUGGGACAGGGCAAGCUGGUGCCUGCCUGGAGGAAAGUGGGGAGCUGCUUCCUCCUCACAGUGCUGGAAGAGCACCCUGGGCCCAUUUGAGACCUGAGUGUUUCCCAGGGCUUGGUGACAAAUCCUGGGGUGUUGGUGACUGGUCGUGGCGUGUCUCCAUGACCCAAAAGUUUUUUCUGAGGCCCUGUCCACCUGCAUUUCUUCUGCUUCCAGCUCCGGAGUGCUGCUUGGGGUGUCCCAGGGCAGCCGAGGUGUCCUGGGGCUGGUUUGGAGAGAUUUUGUGCCUGGCUGAUUUUAUCCUGGUCAGGUUGGGGUGUCCCUGUCCCUGCCUGCCCAAAGGGGACAGUGCACAAGUGUCCCCUGAUGCCCCAUGGCUGCCCACAGGUGUGUACCUGUGGGUGCUUGGAGCAGGGGGUCAGUCCCAGGGGUGUAUCCGGGUGCUGUCCCAUUGUCCUGUCCUGGGGGUGGUGGCUUUCCACAGGCUGUGCCCUGACAUGUCCCCUCUCCCCAGGCCUCAGCCAGCAGGGGCCAUGCGAUGCUCCCUGAAACGCUCCCUCAUGGUUCUGCUCGCUGCCUCCUUCCUCCUCCUCCUCCUCCAUGGGGGCAGUCGGCAGGAACAGGAUCCCCUGGAGGUGCAGCUCAGCCUGGCUCCCUUGCAGGACACGAUCCUGCAGCUGCUGCAGCCAGAGGGAGCCCAGCACAUCCUCAGGGACACAGCUGAGCUCUCUGCACUCCACAACAUCUCCUACCGGCUCCUCGCUGGCUCCCCGGCUCCCCGAAAAAAAUUCCUGGCAGUGGGAAUGUCAUCUGUGCAAAGGCCACGUGGCUUCUACCUCCUGGCCACGCUCCAGUCCCUCUUCAGCCAGUCUACAGAGGAGGAACUGCAGGAGAUGGUGGUGGUGGUGCACCUGGCUGACACUGAUCCUGGCUGGAAUGUGCGUGUUGCCGCCACCAUCGCCCAGAAGUUUGCUCGCCACAUCCUCCUGGGACGGCUCCUGCUCAUCCAUGCUCCCCCUGAAUUCUACCCCACCCUGGAAGGCCUGAAGAGGAACUUCAACGAUGCAGAGGAGCGGGUGAGGUUUCGCUCCAAGCAGAAUGUGGACUAUGCCUUCCUGCUUGCCUUUGCCGCCAACCUCUCCUCCUACUACCUGAUGAUUGAGGAUGACGUGUGGAGCGCCAGGUCCUUCCUGACGGCCAUCCGCAGGGCAGUGGCUUCCCAGGAGGGCUCCAACUGGGCCACCCUCGAAUUCUCCAAGCUGGGCUACAUUGGAAAGCUCUACCGCUCCAGUGACCUUCCUCGCCUGGCUCAAUUCCUCCUCCUCUUCUACCAGGAAAUGCCCUGUGACUGGCUGCUAGUCCACUUCCGCCAACUGCUCACUCAGAAGGACGUGAUCCGCUUCAAGCCAUCCCUCUUCCAGCACAUGGGCCUCUACUCCUCCUUCCAGGGCACCAUCAACCGGCUGGAGGACGAGGAUUUCCAAGCCGACGCCUUGGACCUCCCAGACAACCCGCCAGCAUCCCUAUACACCAGCAUGUCCAUUUUUGAGAACUAUGAGCCCCUCAAGGCCUACAGUUCGGCACAGGGGUACUUUUGGGGCAAAGACCCAGCAGCUGGCAGUACUUUUUCCGUCGUGUUCCAGCAGCCAGCCCGAGUCAGCCGUGUCCGGGUGCGCACGGGCUCCGUGGAGCGCCCAGGUGAUUUCCUGCGUGCAGGGCUGCUGGAGCUGGGCCAGCGCCGGGACCGCAGCCGGGACUGCUCCUCCUACAUCCCUGUGGGCUCCUUCGAGAAGGGAACCCUGGAGCAGCGGGGCCUGGAGAGGGUCCUGCCUGGGCCCGUGGAGUGCGUGAGGAUCCGGGUGACGCAGGACCAGAGCGAGUGGCUCAUCAUCCAGAGCAUCGACAUCUGGACCACAGCAGGCACUUAAGCAUAACACCUGUGGCAGGAUGUCAAAGCCCCUGGAUUUGGUUCCUUUAUUUUUCACAUUGCCGUUUUGGAUAAGAAAUUAAGUUAUUGGCUCUCACUGGUCCAUGUCUGGAGAGAUGGGAACCACUGAUGUGGGCUGUGGAUGGGUUUAGGAGCAGGGCACAUCAGAAUGUACCUGCUGGAGGAUGCCCCAAUGAGCCAGGGAGGGGGGCACAGGAAGGGAAAGGGGCUUGGAUAUCAAGGCUGAGCAGUAGAAAACCUUUCCUCCCAGGAAGGAUGAUGUACAGGACAAAGCUGAUCAGCCAAUUAACAAACCAAAUAAUUAAUCAGGCAGUGGUAUUUUUUGGAGCCUCUCCACACCUUACCUGCUUUAAGUUUUCUAACCUUUUCCAAAACUCGAUUUCUAACUCCCCCCUUUCUGAUCCCAUUUCCUAGCUGCUCCUGGAGGGGUCAGGGGAAAGUCUGGGGGUGCUGCUCACCAAAUCCUUCACCCUGCAGGUUCAGCAGGUUCGUGGCCGCAGCAAGCUCCCACUGGUGCCCGGCCGUUUCCCGGUGCCGAUCGGGGGCGACGGCCACCAGAUGGACCCAUCGGCCCGGCCCCGAGCACCGCCUCCCCCGGCGCUCCUUGUUCCCGCCCUCGAAGGGAAAAAAACAAUUCCCAGGGACCUCACUUUGUGGUUUUGCGGGGUUCACACGGAGCGAGAAGGACAGUCAAGAUGGGGCUUCUAGAAAGAUGGACAAACCAAAUUCAGGCCACCUGCUACAAAGUCCCCUCUGCCUCUGAGGGCAAGGCUUGCCUUGGGGUCGUUACACAGAACUCUGAAUAUUCCAUGUGCUUCUGCAUGAUGUGCAGAGAUCCAAAUGUUCACCUGUGAAGAAGAAAUUUAUUCCUGAAUCUCAGCUGAUGCCAGCCAGAAACCAACACAGAUCCCAACAACGCUCCUGUCAGAAGAGCUUCCACCCUGUACAGCCACACAUCUAAACUACCCCAGCCCUGCAAAAAUAUUGCUGAUUUCCUUACAACUGGACUUGCAGAAAACCUCCUGUUCAUCUCUUACUACCCUGGAGCCCAGCUGCAGAUAUUUUGGUGCUGACAGUUUUGCUCACUAAAAGAUGCAGAACUGGGUGACCUAAAGCAAUACACUGGGGCCUCCCUGCUGCAUUGCCAUGAAUGGCAAAUCAUUCAUCUUCUGACACUCAAAGUCUUGCUGCUGAAGGGAAUUAUGUAUUUUCCCGUCAAGAGCUAUGGGAAAGGGGUGGAAUAUUCCAAACCAAUUCCUAA